GAGUUUGAUCCUGGCUCAGGACGAACGCUGGCGGCGUGCCUAAUACAUGCAAGUCGAGCGAGCUGAAUUCAAAGAUCCCUUCGGGGUGAUUUGUUGGACGCUAGCGGCGGAUGGGUGAGUAACACGUGGGCAAUCUGCCCUAAAGACUGGGAUACCACUUGGAAACAGGUGCUAAUACCGGAUAACAACAUGAAUCGCAUGAUUCAAGUUUGAAAGGCGGCGCAAGCUGUCACUUUAGGAUGAGCCCGCGGCGCAUUAGCUAGUUGGUGGGGUAAAGGCCUACCAAGGCAAUGAUGCGUAGCCGAGUUGAGAGACUGAUCGGCCACAUUGGGACUGAGACACGGCCCAAACUCCUACGGGAGGCAGCAGUAGGGAAUCUUCCACAAUGGACGCAAGUCUGAUGGAGCAACGCCGCGUGAGUGAAGAAGGUUUUCGGAUCGUAAAGCUCUGUUGUUGGUGAAGAAGGAUAGAGGCAGUAACUGGUCUUUAUUUGACGGUAAUCAACCAGAAAGUCACGGCUAACUACGUGCCAGUAGCCGCGGUAAUACGUAGGUGGCAAGCGUUGUCCGGAUUUAUUGGGCGUAAAGCGAGCGCAGGCGGAAUGAUAAGUCUGAUGUGAAAGCCCACGGCUCAACCGUGGAACUGCAUCGGAAACUGUCAUUCUUGAGUGUAGAAGAGGAGAGUGGAACUCCAUGUGUAGCGGUGAAAUGCGUAGA
rnacentral:rRNA from 1 species